rnacentral:rRNA from 1 species
UAGUUGGUAAGGUAACGGCUUACCAAGGCAACGAUGUUUAGGGGGUCUGAGAGGAUAGUCCCCCACACUGGUACUGAGACACGGACCAGACUCCUACGGGAGGCAGCAGUGAGGAAUAUUGGUCAAUGGGCGCAAGCCUGAACCAGCCAUGUCGCGUGUAGGAUGACUGCCCUAUGGGUUGUAAACUACUUUUUUACAGGAAUAAACUUUUCCACGAGUGGGAAACUGAAGGUACUGUAGGAAUAAGGAUCGGCUAACUCCGUGCCAGCAGCCGCGGUAAUACGGAGGAUUCGAGCGUUAUCCGGAUUUAUUGGGUUUAAAGGGUCCGUAGGCGGGCUUGUAAGUCAGUGGUGAAAUCUCACAGCUCAACUGUGAAACUGCCAUUGAUACUGCAGGUCUUGAAUUUAGUUGAGGUGGGCGGAAUACGAUAUGUAGCGGUGAAAUGCAUAGAUAUAUCGUAGAACACCGAUUGCGAAGGCAGCUCACUAAGCUAAUAUUGACGCUGAUGGACGAAAGCGUGGGGAGCGAACAGGAUUAGAUACCCUGGUAGUCCACGCCGUAAACGAUGAUCACUCGUUGUGCGCGAUACACAGUGCGCGACUGAGCGAAAGCAUUAAGUGAUCCACCUGGGGAGUACGUUGGGCAACAAUGAAACUCAAAAGGAAUUGACGGGGGCCCGCACAAGCGGAGGAACAUGUGGUUUAAUUCGAUGAUACGCGAGGAACCUUACCUGGGAUUAAAUGCAUUUUGAUCGGCUUGGAAACGAGCUUUCUCUUCGAAGCAAAUUACAAGGUGCUGCAUGGUUGUCGUCAGCUUCGGGCCGUGAGGUGUCGGGUUAAGUCCCAUAACGAGCGCAACCCCUAUCGUUAGUUGCUAGCAGGUAAUGCUGAGGACUCUAGCGAGACUGCCACCGUAAGGUGAGAGGAAGGUGGGGAUGACGUCAAAUCAGCACGGCCCUUACGUCCAGGGCUACACACGUGUAACAAUGGCUAGUACAAAGGGCAGCUACCUGGGACAGGAUGCUAAUCUCAAAAGCUAGUCUCAGUUCGGAUCGGAGUCUGCAACUCGACUCUGUGAAGUUGGAUUCGCUAGUAAUCGUAUAUCAGCAAUGAUACGGUGAAUACGUUCCCGGGCCUUGUACACACCGCCCGUCAAGCCAUGGAAGCCGAGGGGACCUGAAGUUCGUAACCGCAAGGAGCGACCUAGGGUAAAAUUGGUAACUGGGGCU